CAGCAGCCACGGUAAUACGAAGGGUGCAAGCGUUAAUCGGAAUUACUGGGCGUAAAGCGUGCGUAGGCGGUUUGUUAAGUCUGCUGUGAAAUCCCCGGGCUCAACCUGGGAAUGGCAGUGGAUACUGGCAAGCUAGAGUGUGUCAGAGGAUGGUGGAAUUCCCGGUAUAGCGGCGAAAUGCGUAGAGAUCGGGAGGAACAUCAGUGGCGAAGGCGGCCAUCUGGGACAACACUGACGCUGAGGCACGAAAGCGUGGGAAGCAAACAGGAUUAGAUACCCCAGUAGUCCCUGUCUCUUAUAA
rnacentral:rRNA from 1 species